CUAGUGGACCCUAACCUAUAAUUCAAUGUUAACAAUUUAGAUAUAAUCAAUUUGGUAAUGUAAUUUUAGAAAACAAAAUUACUAAUAAAAAAUCCAAAAGAGGACAUGAUAUUCUAUGUUUUAAUGAUUUGGAAUAUACAUUGCAUAGAGUAAUUAAUUCCAAAUCAUAUUACCGAUGUAGAAGAAGAAGUUGUUCUGGACGGGGUAUUUUUCAAUCAGUAAGUUCACAGAAACUCAGGAUCAUACCUUAGAACAAUGUAAAUCCCCUAUUGUCAAUAACCUUCUACUUAUGUCUGAUAGUCAACCAAUAACUCAAUUCCAAUUAUCUCAACAAAUUAUACAACCUUCAUUAUCAAACUAUCAGCUUACUCAAUCUCAAAUUCUAGCAAUGCCCAACAUGCAGUCUGCUAAUACCAUAUCAAGCAAUAUGUUUACUCAGUCUCAGUUCUUUGUUACAAACUCUCAACCAACUUUAACUAGUAUCAUCAAUUAUUAUCUUUUUAUAUUCAUUACUUUUAGUUAAUAUAUUUGCUCAAUCUCAACCCCUAGUAACACCUAACAUGCAACCUCUUAAUGCCAUAUCAAGUUUAACAAGAAUGACUCUAAAAAAAACAAAUUCCAAAUAUAUCCUAAAAGAAAGAAAUUUGGAAAAGCUGACUACACAAUAUAAUAAUCAUAUUAUUAAUAAAUUGGAGUUUGC